CCUACGGGAGGCAGCAGUGGGGAAUCUUGCGCAAUGGGCGAAAGCCUGACGCAGCCAUGCCGCGUGAAUGAUGAAGGUCUUAGGAUUGUAAAAUUCUUUCACCGGGGACGAUAACGACGGUACCCGGAGAAGAAGCCCCGGCUAACUUCGUGCCAGCAGCCGCGGUAAUACGAAGGGGGCUAGCGUUGCUCGGAAUUACUGGGCGUAAAGGGAGCGUAGGCGGAUAGUUUAGUCAGAGGUGAAAGCCCAGGGCUCAACCUUGGAAUUGCCUUUGAUACUGGCUAUCUUGAGUGUGGGAGAGGUAUGUGGAACUCCGAGUGUAGAGGUGAAAUUCGUAGAUAUUCGGAAGAACACCAGUGGCGAAGGCGACAUACUGGCCCAUUACUGACGCUGAGGCUCGAAAGCGUGGGGAGCAAACAGGAUUAGAUACCCUGGUAGUCCACGCUGUAAACGAUGAGUGCUAGUUGUCGGUCGAUGCAUGCAUGUCGGUGGUACGCGAACUAACGACAUUAAGUACACUCCGCCGUCGGGAGGUACGGUCGCGAGAAUUAAACUAACAAUAGAAGUUAGACGGCGUGAGACGUCGCCGACGGACGACGACGAGGGAGGUUAGG
rnacentral:rRNA from 1 species